GGGCCCGCACAAGCAGCGGAGCAUGUGGUUUAAUUCGACGCAACGCGAAGAACCUUACCAGGUCUUGACAUCCAAUUAAGGCUGUAGAGAUACAGAGUCCCUUCGGGGGAAUUGAGACAGGUGGUGCAUGGUUGUCGUCAGCUCGUGUCGUGAGAUGUUGGGUUAAGUCCCGCAACGAGCGCAACCCUUAUUGAUAGUUACUAACGCGUAAAGGUGAGGACUCUAUUGAGACUGCCGGGGACAACUCGGAGGAAGGUGGGGACGACGUCAAAUCAUCAUGCCCCUUAUGACCUGGGCUACACACGUGCUACAAUGGCCGACACAGAGAGGGGCAAAGGCGCGAGCCGGAGCGGAUCUCAAAAAAGCGGUCGAAGUUCGGAUUGUGGGCUGCAACCCGCCCACAUGAAGUCGGAGUUGCUAGUAAUCGCGGAUCAGCAUGCCGCGGUGAAUACGUUCCCGGGCCUU
rnacentral:rRNA from 1 species